rnacentral:misc_RNA from 1 species
GAACGCACCUUGCGCUCUCUGGUAUUCCGGAGAGCAUGCCUGUUUGAGUGUCAUGAACUCUUCAACCCACCGGUUCCUAGUGAAUCGAGUUGGUGUUUGGAUUUUGAGCGUUGCAGACUUUUAUUAGUCUGCUCGUUCGUAAUACAUUAGCAUCUCAAUUUCGAACCUCGGAUUGACUCAGCGUAAUAGACUAUUCGCUGAGGACACUUUAGCAAUAAGGUGGCCGAAUUGUAGAUAAGAGUGGAAGCUUCCAACCCUUCUAGUCAAAUUUUUAGAUUAGACCUCAGAUCAGGCAGGAUUACCCGCUGAACUUAAG